rnacentral:rRNA from 1 species
GAUGAACGCUGGCGGCGUGCCUAAUACAUGCAAGUCGUGCGAACAGACGAGGAGCUUGCUCCUUUGACGUUAGCGGCGGACGGGUGAGUAACACGUAGGUAACCUACCUAUAAGACUGGGAUAACUUCGGGAAACCGGAGCUAAUACCGGAUAAUAUUUCGAACCGCAUGGUUCGAUAGUGAAAGAUGGCUUUGCUAUCACUUAUGGAUGGACCUGCGCCGUAUUAGCUAGUUGGUAAGGUAACGGCUUACCAAGGCAACGAUACGUAGCCGACCUGAGAGGGUGAUCGGCCACACUGGAACUGAGACACGGUCCAGACUCCUACGGGAGGCAGCAGUAGGGAAUCUUCCGCAAUGGGCGAAAGCCUGACGGAGCAACGCCGCGUGAGUGAUGAAGGUCUUCGGAUCGUAAAACUCUGUUAUUAGGGAAGAACAAACGUGUAAGUAACUGUGCACGUCUUGACGGUACCUAAUCAGAAAGCCACGGCUAACUACGUG